rnacentral:rRNA from 1 species
GACCGAUAGUGAACCAGUACCGUGAGGGAAAGGCGAAAAGAACCCCGGCGAGGGGAGUGAAAAAGAACCUGAAACCGUGUACGUACAAGCAGUGGGAGCACCUUCGGGUGUGACUGCGUACCUUUUGUAUAAUGGGUCAGCGACUUAUAUUCUGUAGCAAGGUUAACCGUAUAGGGGAGCCGCAGGGAAACCGAGUCUUAACUGGGCGUUAAGUUGCAGGGUAUAGACCCGAAACCCGGUGAUCUAGCCAUGGGCAGGUUGAAGGUUGGGUAACACUAACUGGAGGACCGAACCGACUAAUGUUGAAAAAUUAGCGGAUGACUUGUGGCUGGGGGUGAAAGGCCAAUCAAACCGGGAGAUAGCUGGUUCUCCCCGAAAGCUAUUUAGGUAGCGCCUCGUGAACUCAUCUUCGGGGGUAGAGCACUGUUUCGGCUAGGGGGUCAUCCCGACUUACCAACCCGAUGCAAACUACGAAUACCGAAGAAUGUUAUCACGGGAGACACACGGCGGGUGCUAACGUCCGUCGUGAAGAGGGAAACAACCCAGACCGCCAGCUAAGGUCCCAAAGUCAUGGUUAAGUGGGAAACGAUGUGGGAAGGCACAGACAGCCAGGAUGUUGGCUUAGAAGCAGCCAUCAUUUAAAGAAAGCGUAAUAGCUCACUGGUCGAGUCGGCCUGCGCGGAAGAUGUAACGGGGCUAAACCAUGCACCGAAGCUGCGGCAGCGACACUAUGUGUUGUUGGGUAGGGGAGCGUUCUGUAAGCCUGCGAAGGUGACCUGUGAGGGUUGCUGGAGGUAUCAGAAGUGCGAAUGCUGACAUAAGUAACGAUAAAGCGGGUGAAAAGCCCGCUCGCCGGAAGACCAAGGGUUCCUGUCCAACGUUAAUCGGGGCAGGGUGAGUCGACCCCUAAGGCGAGGCCGAAAGGCGUAGUCGAUGGGAAACAGGUUAAUAUUCCUGUACUUGGUGUUACUGCGAAGGGGGGACGGAGAAGGCUAUGUUAGCCGGGCGACGGUUGUC